AACGGGUGGUAAUGCCGGAUGCUCCAGUUGAUCGCAUGGUCUUCUGGGAAAGCCUUUGCGGCAUGGGAUGGGGUCGCGUCCUAUCAGCUUGAUGGCGGGGUAACGGCCCACCAUGGCUUCGACGGGUAGCCGGCCUGAGAGGGCGACCGGCCACAUUGGGACUGAGAUACGGCCCAGACUCCUACGGGAGGCAGCAGUGGGGAAUAUUGCACAAUGGGCGCAAGCCUGAUGCAGCGACGCCGCGUGAGGGAUGGAGGCCUUCGGGUUGUAAACCUCUUUUGUUAGGGAGCAAGGCAUUUUGUGUUGAGUGUACCUUUCGAAUAAGCACCGGCUAACUACGUGCCAGCAGCCGCGGUAAUACGUAGGGUGCAAGCGUUAUCCGGAAUUAUUGGGCGUAAAGGGCUCGUAGGCGGUUCGUCGCGUCCGGUGUGAAAGUCCAUCGCUUAACGGUGGAUCCGCGCCGGGUACGGGCGGGCUUGAGUGCGGUAGGGGAGACUGGAAUUCCCGGUGUAACGGUGGAAUGUGUAGAUAUCGGAAAAGGAAC
rnacentral:rRNA from 1 species